CCUACGGGAGGCAGCAGUAGGGAAUUUUCGUCAAUGGGCGCAAGCCUGAACGAGCAAUGCCGCGUGAACGAGGAAGGUCUUCGGAUCGUAAAGUUCUGUUGACGGGGAAAAAGAGCGGAGAGAGGAAAUGCUUUCUGAUUGAUAUUACCCUUAGAGGAAGUCCCGGCUAACUACGUGCCAGCAGCCGCGGUAAUACGUAGGGGGCGAGCGUUAUCCGGAAUGAAUGGGCGUAAAGGGUGCGUAGGCGGCCUGCUAAGUCUGGAGUGAAAGGGACCGGCUCAACCGGUACAGGGUCUGGAAACUGGCGGGCUAGGGGGCAGGGGAGGGCGGUGGAACUCCAUGUGUAGCGGUAAAAUGCGUAGAUAAAUGGAAGAACACCAGUGGCGAAGGCGGCCGCCUGGCCUGUUACUGACGCUGAGGCACGAAAGCGUGGGGAGCAAAUAGGAUUAGAUACCCCGAGUAGUC
rnacentral:rRNA from 1 species